rnacentral:lncRNA from 1 species
ACAACUAUGCUGGCUACAAGGAAUUUCUCACAGCCAAGAGUUUGUUGAAGAAACCAGAUGGAGUAAAAUAAACAACAAAGCCAACGUGGUAACCAGCCCCAAAGAAAAUAUUCCUACCCCAGCGCUGAGCCCCAAACUACUGUAAUCCACAACCCUGAUGGAAACAAGAGUCAACUGAGAGUUCAAAUACAACAAUUGAGGAUGAAGAUGUGA